UACGGGGGGGGUAAGCGUUGUUCGGAAUUACUGGGCGUAAAGGGCUCGUAGGCGGCCAACUAAGUCAUACGUGAAAUCCCUCAGCUUAACUGGGGAACUGCGUGUGAUACUGGAUGGCUUGGAUUUGGGAGAGGGAUGCGGAAUUCCAGGUGUAGCGGUGAAAUGCGUAGAUAUCUGGAGGAACACCAAUGGCGAAGGCAGCUCGCUGGGACGGUACUGACGCUGAGACGCGAAAGCGUGGGGAGCAAACAGG
rnacentral:rRNA from 1 species